rnacentral:tRNA from 1 species
GGCCUGAUGGUCUAGUAGUAUGAUUCCUUCUUCGGGUGGAGGAGGUCCCGGGUUCAAUUCCCGGUCAGGCCC